GAGGGGCAGCAUUCCAGUUUGCUUGCAAACUGGAGAUGGCGACCGGCGCACGGGUGAGUAACACGUAUCCAACCUGCCGAUAACUCGGGGAUAGCCUUUCGAAAGAAAGAUUAAUACCCGAUGGCAUAAUAGAACCGCAUGGUUUGAUUAUUAAAGAAUUUCGGUUAUCGAUGGGGAUGCGUUCCAUUAGGCAGUUGGUGGGGUAACGGCCCACCAAACCUUCGAUGGAUAGGGGUUCUGAGAGGAAGGUCCCCCACAUUGGAACUGAGACACGGUCCAAACUCCUACGGGAGGCAGCAGUGAGGAAUAUUGGUCAAUGGGCGAGAGCCUGAACCAGCCAAGUAGCGUGAAGGAUGACUGCCCUAUGGGUUGUAAACUUCUUUUAUAAAGGAAUAAAGUCGGGUAUGGAUACCCGUUUGCAUGUACUUUAUGAAUAAGGAUCGGCUAACUCCGUGCCAGCAGCCGCGGUAAUACGGAGGAUCCGAGCGUUAUCCGGAUUUAUUGGGUUUAAAGGGAGCGUAGAUGGAUGUUUAAGUCAGUUGUGAAAGUUUGCGGCUCAACCGUAAAAUUGCAGUUGAUACUGGAUAUCUUGAGUGCAGUUGAGGCAGGCGGAAUUCGUGGUGUAGCGGUGAAAUGCUUAGAUAUCACGAGCACUCCGAUUGCGAAGGCAGC
rnacentral:rRNA from 1 species